UGGAACAUGCAGGUAAGGGC
rnacentral:miRNA from 1 species